UACAGAGGGUGCAAGCGUUAAUCGGAAUUACUGGGCGUAAAGCGUGCGUAGGUGGUUUGUUAAGUCAGGUGUGAAAUCCCUGGGCUCAACCUGGGAACUGCAUUUGAUACUGACGAGCUAGAGUGUGGUAGAGGAUAGUGGAAUUCCCGGUGUAGCGGUGAAAUGCGUAGAUAUCGGGAGGAACAUCAGUGGCGAAGGCGGCUAUCUGGACCAACACUGACACUGAGGCACGAAAGCGUGGGUAGCAAACAGG
rnacentral:rRNA from 1 species